GGUUGAUCCUGCCAGUAGUCAUAUGCUUGUCUCAAAGAUUAAGCCAUGCAUGUCUAAGUAUAAGCAAUCUAUACAGUGAAACUGCGAAUGGCUCAUUAAAUCAGUUAUCGUUUAUUUGAUAGUGCAUUACUACAUGGAUAACCGUGGUAAUUCUAGAGCUAAUACAUGCGUAAAAUCCCAUCUGGGAUGUAUUUAUUAGAUAAAAAACCAAUGUCUUCGGACUUUUUGGUGAUUCAUAAUAACUUUUCGAAGCGCAUUGCCUUUGUGCUGGCGCUGGUUCAUUCAAAUUU
rnacentral:rRNA from 1 species